CUGGGCUGUGCAGAGUGCAAAAAGGCUGCCCUCAUUCAUACGGUCAUUCUGACUGAAUCUGAUAUGAUCUGAUACUGAUUACCUGAAAAUCAUUUAUCUUUGUUUUAACCGUUUUAAUCUUUGUGUUUCAAGUGUCUGUGAACACAAACAUGCAGCAGAGUCGUGAAACCCCUCAAUCCCGUCCAGGCCUUCCAAACAGGACUCCUCUAAUGUCUGUGAACACACACGCAGCAUGGUUGUGAAACCCUUCAAUCCCAUCCAGGCCUUCCACACAGGACCCCUCUAACUGUUGAAAGGCUGAGCAGGUUGGACUCCAGCUGAAAAUGGACUAUGUAAAACAACUCCAAAAAACAAUGCACAAUACACCUUCAUUUUGACAAUAGGCCUAUUUCAUAUUUUAUAGCUGAUUCUGGUUAUUUUCUAAUAAUCUUCUUUACACUAGAUUUAAAUGUAAUGUAAAUUAAUGACAUCUAGCUUCUGUUUAAUACAAACAUAACAGCUGCAUGUACACUAUACUGGCCAUCCCCAAACUUCCCACAAAGUUGGGAGCAUGGAAUUGUCCAUAGUCACGUCUGCAGUCGUCUACAUUAAGUCGAAUCCACCUAUUGAUUGACUGACUGACUGACUGGCUGUUUUAUUUUAAACUGACAGACUAUUUGAAGGGAUUUGUUAUUUUUGUUGUAUUUGUCAAUGUGAUUAGGUGAGUGUUGAAAUAAAUCUGAAUUAAAUAAA